rnacentral:rRNA from 2 species
GAUGAACGCUGGCGGUCUGCUUAACACAUGCAAGUCGAACGAAGUCUUCGGACUUAGUGGCGGACGGGUGAGUAACACGUGAGAAUCUGCCUUCAGGUCGGGGAUAACAGUUGGAAACGACUGCUAAUACCGGAUGUGCCCAAGGGUAAAAGAUUUAUUGCCUGAAGAGGAGCUCGCGUCUGAUUAGCUAGUUGGUAGAGUAAAAGCCUACCAAGGCGUCGAUCAGUAGCUGGUCUGAGAGGACGAGCAGCCACACUGGGACUGAGACACGGCCCAGACUCCUACGGGAGUGCAGCAGUGGGGAAUUUUCCGCAAUGGGCGCAAGCCUGACGGAGCAAGACCGCGUGGGGGAGGAAAGCCUUUGGGUCGUAAACCCCUUUUGUCAGGGAAGAAACCCUUGACGGUACCUGACGAAUCAGCCUCGGACUAACUACCGUGCCAGCAGCCGCGGUAAUACGGAGGAGGCAAGCGUUAUCCGGAAUUAUUGGGGCGUCAAGCGUCCGUCAGGUGGCCGAGUAAAUUCUGCUGUCAAGGACCACGGGCCUCACACUGUGGGGCACGGCAGUGGGAAACUUGCGCGGCUUAGAAGUGCGGGAAGGGGU